UUGCAUCUUUUCAACAAAGUUGACUCUCUCCCUACAAAGGAAAGUUUGUAUCAGCUACUGAGAAGGAGGAACAAAUUGUUCUACAGAAAAUGAAGGAAACUCCAAAUGUUCAAGAGACUGGGGAUGGUAUAUGACAGCUUUCACCAUUAGCUCCUGCACAUACUUAUAUACUGAAUAGGACCAUGAAAAAGUGCUUAAGCUCAAACAG